GGAGCAAGAGUGGAGUGAUGGAUUUACCAAGGAUUUGAUUCUAGACUCCUAAAGCGAGACUGACUAUUGUGUCAAGAAGGAGCCAUCUGAGGAAUUGGCUCCUGAGGUUACUGUCUCUUAAUCAUCUACUAGAGCAACUAUACAGCAUUGGUUAAUGCUUGGAUCUAUUGGACCAGGGCAUCAAACUACUAUAGAUCCGCCAUAAUAAGAGGUUGUGCAAUGUGGACGCUCAAGCAGUGCCACCUUGACUAUAGCGGGAUGAUUGUCAAUACAAGGUGGCAGAGUUGUAGACUCUUGUUC
rnacentral:lncRNA from 1 species